UACGAAGGGUGCAAACGUUGCUCGGAAUUACUGGGCGUAAAGGGCGCGUAGGCGGGUCGUUAAGUUGGGGGUGAAAGCCCAGGGCUCAACCCUGGAAUUGCCUUCAAUACUGGCGACCUUGAGUAUGGCAGAGGUGUGUGGAACUCCGAGUGUAGAGGUGAAAUUCGUAGAUAUUCGGAAGAACACCAGUGGCGAAGGCGACACACUGGGCCAUUACUGACGCUGAGGCGCGAAAGCGUGGGGAGCAAACAGG
rnacentral:rRNA from 1 species